ACUUCCGGCCCGCAGCGCGCCGCUCUGGCCUCUCGUCUCGCUGGUGCGGCGGCGGGAGGCGCCGCUCUGGCCUCUCGGUCCUCCCGGGGCUCCGGUUGUGCCGGUGCCGCCGGUGCCGCCAUGUUGGUGACGGUGAAGGCGCUGCAGGGCCGCGAGUGCAGCAUCGAGGUGUCCCCAGAGGAGCAGGUCGAGGCGCUGAAGCUGUUGGUGGCCGAACGGCUGCAGGUGCCGGUGGAGCAGCAGCGCUCCUGUACCGGGGGAAGGCGCUGGCUGACGGCCGCCGUCUCUCCGAGUACUCCAUCGGCCCCUCGGCCCGGCUCAACCUCGUGCUCAAGCCGCCGGGGGGCGGGGCCAGGGGGGGCGGGGGGGCGGGGCCUGAGACCCCCCCACCCCCGGAGGACUUGGGGUCCCCCCCCCUUGCCUCGCUUUUGGGGCCCCUCUCCCAGCUGCUGGGGCGGCACUUUGGGGUGCAGGAAGGGGCGCGGGUCCUGCAACAGCUGCAUAAGGACUAUGCGCAGUCCCUGCGCGGGCUCAGCCUGGACGACCUGGAGCGGCUGGGAACGAGGCUGCUGCAGCCCGAGGGCGGGGCCGACGCAGGCCCCGCCCCCUCCACAAGCCCCGCCCCUUCAACAAGCCCCGCCCUUUCACAGGCAACCACACCCCUCCCCUAGCGUGCCACGCCCCCUACCCUUAGCCACGCCCCCUCCCUUACCCCAUUGGUCCAGCCCCCCCCCUCCGCAAGCCCCUCCCUUUGCCUGACCACGCCCCCUCCUUUAAAGGGGCCGAACUCCAUUAAAAGCCCCAUUU
rnacentral:lncRNA from 1 species